GUCUCCGGCCAGUAGAUGGCACUGUAAUUCAGCGUAGCCAUUCAAACGAGUGAGAAUCCGGUGUUCACGUUUCUGCCGCUUUGGAAGCUGAAAGACUGACGUUGUUAAAACUUUUAAGGCCAAAGAGCCAGGACAGCUGAAGUUGUGCUCUCAGAGGUACAUUUUGGAGCUCGCUGGUGAUACUGACAAGGACCCUGCCUACUGAGACAAGAUGGUGGUUUUGGGCAGGAUGUGGAGUAAGCAGACAGUCACCACCACGUCUGCAAAGAUGUGGAAUCCUGUCCAACCAUUCAAGAAAUGGAUCAGAACACAAAUGCCAGAGGAUGAGACGAAGCGAGACCAGGAGUGACUUGGACAGUGGCUCUUAACCCUGGCCGUUGAAGACAGCUGUGACUUCCAGCUCUUGCAGCAGGCAAAGUUCUUAAUCACAGGACAGUUGAUUUCAACCUUCUAUUUUAGUUGUUUUUCUUAAAUGUCCUUUCAACUUUUAAGACAUUGAAAGAGGUCUUAGCUGAAAUACAAGCAAGUGACCUUUCGCAGAAGGA